AACGAACGCUGGCGGCAUGCCUAACACAUGCAAGUCGAACGAAACCUUCGGGUCUUGGUGCCCACGGGUGCGUAACGCGUGGGAACCUUCCCUUAGGUUCGGAAUAACUCUCCGAAAGGGGUACUAAUACCGGAUAAUGUCUUCGUACCAAAGAUUUAUUGACCUUGGAUGGGCCCGCGUUGAAUUAGCUAGUUGGUAGGGUAAUAGCCUACCAGGGCGACGUUCAAUACAUGGUCAGGGAGAAUGAUAAGAGACACUGAGACUGAGACACGGCACAGACUCUUACGGGAGGCAGCAGUGGGGGAUAUAGCACAGCGGGCGAAGGCAUGAAGAAGCAAUGCACCGUGAGUGCUGAAAGACUUAGGGUAGUAAAGCGCUUUUACCCAGGAUGAUAAUGACAGUACCGGAACAAAAAGCACAGGCUAACUACGUG
rnacentral:rRNA from 1 species